CUAGGUCGACGCUCAACUGCUGAGCCACGCCUGGCUGGGCUCCACCAUCUUUUAAAAAAUAUAUAUUUCUAGUGUAUGUAUCCGUUCCUAGAGCAGGUGAUUCCACAGAAACUCUUGUGUGUUAGGGAAGUUGUUCCUCCAACUUCAUGUAAAAUCCAUGCUAUUGUUUGAAGAGAGAAUCUCUAUUGUGUGAUUCUCAUACCUCCUGAUCCAUUUCCAUGGUGUAUCAGCCACAUUCACCUUUUUUAAUAGAAGGAGUGGCUUUAUCUAUUUGGCUACACAAAAAUAUUCAUUGAAUGCCUUUUCUGAACCGACCCUGUAACAGGUGCCAGCAAUUUCACUGUGAUCAAGAUAAGCACAAUCUCUGCCUUUAUCUAACUUAUAUUUCAGGGGAUGGGAUGAACAAUAGAUAAAUACCAGAGUCUCUAUAACAACAAGGUGAUUUGAGAAAGGAACUGGCUGGGGCUGAUUAGGUGUGGGGUCCUAAUUGAGACAAGGCCUCUCCAUGAAGGUGGGACUUUUGAACUGAGAUCUGAAGGGUGAGAAUGAGGCAGCCAUUCUGAGAGCGAAGCAGAGCACAGUAUGUGCAAAGGGGCUUGGGGUGGUCAAAGAUGGGACCAUGGCCUGCACAUCUGGAGCUCCAGUAAAGAGAGGAGGUUGUGGAAGUGUGGAGGGGCCAGCUUUUAGGUGGGGAUGCCAGAAUUUGAUUCCUGUUUCUGGAAGGUUAUUGUGCGGGCCUGUGGAUGUGAGUGGGAUGCGAUUUAGCAGGGUGGGGGAGAUAUCUUGGGAAGCUCUGAGAGAGAUGUUAAUGGUUUGGAUCAGGGAUGUGGUGGUGGAGAUGCAGAGGAAAGGGUGUGUUUGAAAGUGGAACCAACAGGACCUGCUGAUGUGAGGGGAGAAGGGAGGAGGAAUUUAGGAUGACUUGCAGUUUGGCAUGAGGGUAGGUAUGGGUGGAUGGCAGUACCUCUUAGUGAGAUGGAGAAGAACAGGAGCAAAACAGAUCCUGAAGGAGCAAAUUAAACCACAAUGUGGUGCUCUUUCACACCACCAACACCAAAAAUUUAUGUAAAGGAUGACAAAACCAAGGUUGGGGGAAUGGAGAGCGUCUCGAAGUACAUAGGUCUGGAAUACUGGUUGGCAUUCAUUGCCAAAAUCGAAUAUUCACAAAUUCCAUGAACUCUUCAUUCUGUCUCUGCUCCCAGGUCCCAUCUCCAAGAGACCUCCCUCCAGAGGGUGGUUCAGUGCCUGGGGAGCACGAGGGGGGAGGGGGAGGGUCACCCAUCCGCCGUUUCCCAAAGCGACACCAGGAGGGAGUGUGACCCCCGACCGGCUGCAUUCGUCUAGGGUGCAGAGCAGGUCCACGCCUCGAUCGCCCUGGACCCGCUUCAACGUUUUUCUUCGCGGAGCUGGGGCGUUUGCGCCGUUGCGGCUCCUAGGUCCAGGUCCAGCGGGCAAGGUUAAGUUGAGCGCCUGCGGUUCCCGGCGCUGCCACGCGGGGCCGCUAUCGCUCCUGGGAAUCUGCCGGCAGCUCCCAGUGGGGCUCUGGCUGCAGGGCUCCCGCUUUCCCCGCCCGGCGUGCGGGUGUCACUCAGCACCCACCGCGGUUACCGUUACCAGCGCUGUUGACUGUUGAGAGUUCAGAGUCACCACAAAGAUUCCAAGCUUUCUGGUGAGAGAGCUUUUUAUUUCCAUUCCCAACAGACUGCUGUCAAUACAUGUCACCCGGGAUACAAUGUAUUUAAAGACACGUUGUAUGAAACUAACCUUGUCCCUUCCUCCUUUUAUGAUUUUGCAAGUAGUAUUAAAAUAAAUGACAAAAAAAGUUUAAAAUACGAGAAAAAGUAUAGCGGAACUUGGAGCAGUGCAACCAAAAGGCAGGAUAAAACUAUCAAAGGAAAUCCGUGUGUGCAUUUAUAUUUUUAUAUAUUUAUAUUCUCCUAAAUGUAACAAAGGUACCCAGCUUAAAAGAAUCCUUUUAUAAAAGGACAGUAUUUUAUGUAGCUGAGUGUAGAAUAUGAUAAUAAAAUGUAUCUUUUAUGUUAAGAUCAUAUUGCAACCUGUACAUGUAUGAUAUACAAUUAAUCAAAGGAAAAAUAGGGCAAAUAAAUCACACUUUGAUUUUUUAAUUAAACUUUAUAAAUUUGGGGAUAAUUGUUGAUUCACAUGCAGCUGUAAGAUUUAAUACACAGCCCUGGCCGGUGUGGCUUAGUUGGUUGAGCAUUUUCCCAUGUACCAAACGGUGCCUGGUUGGAUUCCCCCUUGGGGCACAUGCUGGGGGUAAGGCCUGAUCCCCAGUAGGGGGCAUAUGAUAGAUCUUUCUCUCCCUCUCUCUCUAAAAAUCAAUCAAAACAUAUUACUAUUUUUUUAAAAAAGUAUUAAUACAGAGGUCAUGUAUACCCAGUUUUCCCAGUGGAAACAUCUUGCAACACUAUAAUACAAUAUCAUAGUCAGGACAUACUGAUGGAGUCAAGAUACAGAACAUUCCCCAUCCUUCUUGUUGCCCUUUUAUAGCCACAUCCAGUUCCCUCUCACCCUCACUCCUUAAUCUCUGGCAACCACUAAGUCUGUUCUCCAUUUCUAUAAUUUCAUUUCAAGAAGGUUGUAUAAGUGGAAUCACAUAGUUCAGAGUUCAUUUCUUUAUAUUGCUGAGGAAUAUUCCAUGAUAUGGGUCUACAGCUUGCUGAAUCAUUCACUGAAGGGCAUCCGGGUUAUUUCUAGUUUGUGUUUAUUCCAAAUAAAACUACUGUGAACAUUAAUGUUCAGAUUUUUGUGUGAACAUGUCUUUAUAAUUCUUUGGGAUAACUGCUCGAGAAUGAUACAACUGCUGGAUAGUAUGUCUCUGCAUGAUUGGUUUUCCCUCAAAUAACCCAUUUAUUUUACAUAGGAAAUUGGAUUUGGAAAAUAAAUAUUUAUACAUUAA